UACGUAGGUGGCAAGCGUUGUCCGGAUUUAUUGGGUUUAAAGGGUGCGUAGGCGGCCCUGUAAGUCAGUGCUGAAAUAUCCCGGCUUAACCGGGAGGGUGGCAUUGAUACUGCGGGGCUAGAGUACAGAUGAGGUAGGCGGAAUUGACGGUGUAGCGGUGAAAUGCUUAGAUAUCGUCAAGAACACCUAUAGCGAAGGCAGCUUACUAGGCUGUAACUGACGCUGAGGCACGAAAGUGUGGGGACCAAACAGG
rnacentral:rRNA from 1 species